GCUGUAGCUCAGUGGUACAGCAUCUGCUUUGUAUGCAGAUGGUCCCAAGUUCAGUCCCUGGUGUCUCCC